GACGAACGCUGGCGGCGUGCUUAACACAUGCAAGUCGAACGGAAAGGCCCUGCUUUUGUGGGGUGCUCGAGUGGCGAACGGGUGAGUAACACGUGAGUAACCUGCCCUUGACUUUGGGAUAACUUCAGGAAACUGGGGCUAAUACCGGAUAGGAGCUCCUGCUGCAUGGUGGGUGUUGGAAAGUUUCGGCGGUUGGGGAUGGACUCGCGGCUUAUCAGCUUGUUGGUGGGGUAGUGGCUUACCAAGGCUUUGACGGGUAGCCGGCCUGAGAGGGUGACCGGCCACAUUGGGACUGAGGUAAGGCCCAGACUCCUACGGGAGGCAGCAGUGGGGAAUAUUGCACAAUGGGCGGAAGCCUGAUGCAGCAGCGCCGCGUGCGGGAUGACGGCCUUCGGGUUGUGAACCGAUUUCGCCUGUGACGAAGCGUGAGUGAAGGUAAUGGGUAAAGAAGCACCGGCUAACUACGUG
rnacentral:rRNA from 1 species